AUUGAACGCUGGCGGCAGGCCUAACACAUGCAAGUCGAGCGGAUGAAGGGAGCUUGCUCCUGGAUUCAGCGGCGGACGGGUGAGUAAUGCCUAGGAAUCUGCCUGGUAGUGGGGGAUAACGUCCGGAAACGGGCGCUAAUACCGCAUACGUCCUGAGGGAGAAAGUGGGGGAUCUUCGGACCUCACGCUAUCAGAUGAGCCUAGGUCGGAUUAGCUAGUUGGUGGGGUAAAGGCCUACCAAGGCGACGAUCCGUAACUGGUCUGAGAGGAUGAUCAGUCACACUGGAACUGAGACACGGUCCAGACUCCUACGGGAGGCAGCAGUGGGGAAUAUUGGACAAAGGGCGAAAGCCUGAACCAGCCAUGCCGCGUGUGUGAAGAAGGUCUUCGGAUUGUAAAGCACUUUAAGUUGGGAGGAAGGGCAGUAAGUUAAUACCUUGCUGUUUUGACGUUACCAACAGAAUAAGCACCGGCUAACUUCGUG
rnacentral:rRNA from 1 species